UACGUAGGGUGCAAGCGUUUGUCCGGGAAUUAUUGGGCGUAAAGAGCUCGUAGGCGGUGUGUCGCGUCGGCCGUGAAAACCUGCAGCUUAACUGUGGGCUUGCGGUCGAUACGGGCAUCACUGGAGUUCGGCAGGGGAGACUGGAAUUCCUGGUGUAGCGGUGAAAUGCGCAGAUAUCAGGAGGAACACCGGUGGCGAAGGCGGGUCUCUGGGCCGAUGACUGACGUGAGGAGCGAAAGCGUUGGGGGAGCGAACAGGAUAUAACGAACCGUGG
rnacentral:rRNA from 1 species